GACGAACGCUGGCGGCGUGCCUAAUACAUGCAAGUUGAGCGCUGAAGGUUGGUACUUGUACCCACUGGAUGAGCAGCGAACGGGUGAGUAACGCGUGGGGAAUCUGCCUUUGAGCGGGGGACAACAUUUGGAAACGAAUGCUAAUACCGCAUAAAAACUUUAAACACAAGUUUUAAGUUUGAAAGAUGCAAUUGCAUCACUCAAAGAUGAUCCCGCGUUGUAUUAGCUAGUUGGUGAGGUAAAGGCUCACCAAGGCGAUGAUACAUAGCCGACCUGAGAGGGUUAUCGGCCACAUUGGGACUGAGACACGGCCCAAACUCCUACGGGAGGCAGCAGUAGGGAAUCUUCGGCAAUGGACGAAAGUCUGACCGAGCAACGCCGCGUGAGUGAAGAAGGUUUUCGGAUCGUAAAACUCUGUUGGUAGAGAAGAACGUUGGUGAGAGUGGAAAGCUCAUCAAGUGACGGUAACUACCCAGAAAGGGACGGCUAACUACGUG
rnacentral:rRNA from 1 species